UAUGACCAUAUCACGUUGAAACACCGAUUUUUGUAUAAUCACUGAAGUUAAGCAUCAUUGAUCCUGGUCAGUAUCUAGAUGGGUGACCACUUAGGAAUACCAGGUGCUGUAAG